rnacentral:rRNA from 2 species
GGUUAAGCGACUAAGCGUACACGGUGGAUGCCUAGGCAAUCAGAGGCGAUGAAGGACGUGCUAAUCUGCGAAAAGCGUCGGUAAGGUGAUAUGAACCGUUAUAACCGACGAUGUCCGAAUGGGGAAACCCAGUGCAAUUCGUUGCACUAUCGUUUGAUGAAUCCAUAGUCAAACGAGGCGAACCGGGGGAACUGAAACAUCUCAGUACCCCGAGGAAAAGAAAUCAACCGAGAUUCCCCUAGUAGCGGCGAGCGAACGGGGAGCAGCCCAGAGUCUUAAUCAGCAUCAGCAUCAGGAGAACGGUCUGGAAAGGCCGGCAAUAAAGGGUGAUAGCCCCGUAUCCGAAGGUGUUGGUGUUGUGAACUCGAUGAGUAGGGCGGGACACGUGUUAUCCUGUCUGAAUAUGGGGGGACCAUCCUCCAAGGCUAAAUACUCCUGAUUGACCGAUAGUGAACCAGUACCGUGAGGGAAAGGCGAAAAGAACCCCGGCGAGGGGAGUGAAAUAGAACCUGAAACCGUGUACGUACAAGCAGUGGGAGCC